AUUGAACGCUGGCGGCAGGCCUAACACAUGCAAGUCGGGCGACCGGCGGACGGGUGAGUAAUGUAUGGGGAUCUGCCUGAUGGAGGGGGAUAACUACUGGAAACGGUAGCUAAUACCGCAUACCAUCAGAUGAACCCAUAUUGGAUUAGCUUGUAGGUAAGGUAACGGCGUACCUAGGCGCAGAUCCCUAGCUGGUCUGAGAGGAUGAUCAGCCACACUGGGACGGAGCAACGGCCAAGACUCCUCGGGGAGGCAGCAGUGGGGAAGAUUGCACAAGGGGCGAAAGCCUGAUGAAGACAUGCCGCGUGGAUGAAGAAGGCCUUCGGUUUGUAAAGUACUUUGAGUCGGGAGGCGUUACCGACAGAAGAAGCACCGGCUAACUCCGUGCCAGCAGCCGCGGUAAUAC
rnacentral:rRNA from 1 species